AAAUCCUAAGGCCGGCGGAAGAAGCAUUGUUAAGGAACUCGGCAAAAUGACCCUGUAACUUCGGGAGAAAGGGUGCCCUCGUAAGAGGGCCGCAGAGAAUAGGCUCAAGCAACUGUUUAGCAAAAACACAGGUCUAUGCAAAACCGUAAGGUGAGGUAUAUGGGCUGACGCCUGCCCGGUGCUGGAAGGUUAAGAGGAGAGGUUAGAGCAAUCGAAGCUUUGAAUUUAAGCCCCAGUAAACGGCGGCCGUAACGAUAACGGUCCUAAGGUAGCGAAAUUCCUUGUCGGGUAAGUUCCGACCCGCACGAAAGGCGUAAUGAUUUGAGCACUGUCUCGACAAUGCAUCCGGUGAAAUUGAAGUACCAGUGAAGAUGCUGGUUACCCGCGCCAGGACGGAAAGACCCCAUGGAGCUUUACUCCAGUUUGGUACUGGGAUCCGGUAUUGCAUGUACAGGAUAGGUGGGAGGCUGAGAAAUGGUGACGCCAGUUGCCAUGGAGCCAUUGUUGGGAUACCACCCUUGCAGUAUUGGGUUUCUAACCAGCCGCCGUGACCCGGCGGUGGGACAAUGCCGGGCGGGGAGUUUGACUGGGGCGGUCGCCUCCGAAAGGGUAUCGGAGGCGCUCAAAGGUUCCCUCAGAAUGGUUGGAAACCAUUCGAAGAGUGCAAAGGCAGAAGGGAGCUUGACUGCGACACCGACGGGUGGGGCAGGUACGAAAGUAGGACUUAGUGAUCCGGUGGUAUUAAGUGGGAAUGCCAUCGCUCAACGGAUAAAAGCUACCCUGGGAUAACAGGCUUAUCACUCCCAAGAGUUCACAUCGACGGAGUGGUUUGGCACCUCGAUGUCGGCUCAUCGCAUCCUGGGGCUGUAGUAGGUCCCAAGGGUUGGGCUGUUCGCCCAUUAAAGCGGUACGCGAGCUGGGUUCAGAACGUCGUGAGACAGUUCGGUCCCUAUCCGGCGUGGGCGUAAGAUAUUUGAGAGGAGCUGUCCUUAGUACGAGAGGACCGGGAUGGACUGACCUCUGGUGUACCGGUUGCACUGCCAAGUGCAUGGCCGGGUAGCCAAGUCGGGAAGGGAUAAACGCUGAAGGCAUCUAAGCGUGAAGCCCCCCUCAAGAUGAGAUAUCUCAUGCGAAAGCAGUAAGACCCCUUGAAGACGACGAGGUAGAUAGGGCAGAGGCGGAAGUGCAGUAAUGUAUGGAGCUGACUGUCACUAAUAGGUCGAAGGCUUGA
rnacentral:rRNA from 1 species